rnacentral:rRNA from 1 species
AAAAGCGAGGAAAGAAACCAACAGGGAUUGCCUCAGUAACGGCGAGUGAAGCGGCAACAGCUCAAAUUUGAAAUCUGGCCCCUUCGGGGUCCGAGUUGUAAUUUGCAGAGGGUGCUUUUGGUGUUGGCCGUGGUCUAAGUUCCUUGGAACAGGACGUCACAGAGGGUGAGAAUCCCGUACGUGGCCGCCGGCCCUCGCCUUGUAAAGCCCCUUCGACGAGUCGAGUUGUUUGGGAAUGCAGCUCUAAAUGGGAGGUAAAUUUCUUCUAAAGCUAAAUACCCGCCAGAGACCGAUAGCGCACAAGUAGAGUGAUCGAAAGAUGAAAAGCACUUUGGAAAGAGAGUGAAAAAGCACGUGAAAUUGUUGAAAGGGAAGCGCUUGCGGCCAGACGUGCCCGCGGUUGUUCAUCUGGGCUCUCGCCCGGUGCACUCCUCCGCGGGCAGGCCAGCAUCAGUUUGGGCGGUCGGACAAAGGUCUCUAUCACGUACCACCCCUCGGGGUGGCCUUAUAGGGGAGACGCAACACGGCCAGCCUGGACUGAGGUUCCGCGCAUCUGCUAGGAUGCUGGCGUAAUGGCAGCAAGCGGCCCGUCUUGAAACACGGACCAAGGAGUCUAACAUCUAUGCGAGUGUUUGGGUGUCAAGCCCGAGCGCGUAAUGAAAGUGAACGGAGGUGGGAACCCCUCGGGGCGCACCAUCGACCGAUCCUGAUGUCUUCGGAUGGAUUUGAGUAAGAGCAUAGCUGUUGGGACCCGAAAGAUGGUGAACUAUGCCUGAAUAGGGUGAAGCCAGAGGAAACUCUGGUGGAGGCUCGCAGCGGUUCUGACGUGCAAAUCGAUCGUCAAAUUUGGGCAUAGGGGCGAAAGACUAAUCGA